AGGAUCCAUCCAACGCACGUGGUUUUUUUCUAAUUUCUGAAUUUUCCAUUUUUAUUUUUUAAUUUCAUCUCAUUUUCAAAAACUCAUAUCUCUUUUAUUAUAGGUCCAAAAAAUAUGGGACCAAUUUUAUUAUUUCUCUUUUAAUUUGUAGUUUCUAAAUAUGAUUUUUAAUAUUUUUUAUUUUAUCAUUUGCUAUUUUUUAAUAAUUUUCUCUUUUCUGGUUAUUUUUAAUUCAUUUUAAAUAGUUUUU
rnacentral:lncRNA from 1 species